UUUUAAGGCCACUGAGAUCGAGGUACUAAAUAUAAAAUAUCCCCUUCGUUUUGUUCAGAUAUGUGCCAUAGUUUUAUCCAUUAUGUGAGGAGCAAAGUUAAUACUGAGCGAAGUUAUAAACAACACACUCUAUUUUUUAGUGAUACAUGACAACUUAUCUGCCACUUAAGUUGGGCUCCACAAGAUUGUAUGUAUGGAGUUACAUUAUAUAUAAUUCUCAGCAGUUGGUGUGAAGUCUUUGUUUAAUUGCAUUUUUGAUGAUGACAAUUCAUACCUAAAACCUUUUUCUUUGUAGGUUGGAGUGGUGAGGAAGGAG
rnacentral:misc_RNA from 1 species